rnacentral:rRNA from 1 species
CGCGUAAACAACUUGCCUCAGAGAUUGGGACAACAUUGGGAAACCAGUGCUAAUACCAAAUAAUGCAGCGGGCUCUUCGGAGCACAGUUGUUAAAGUAGGCUUCGGCUUACACUUUGAGAUAGGUUUGCGUCCGAUUAGUUAGUUGGUAGGGUAAAGCCCACCAAGGCGACGAUCCGUAGCUGGUUUGAGAGGAUGAUCAGCCACACUGGGACUGAGACACGGCCCAGACUCCUACGGGAGGCAGCAGUGGGGAAUAUUGCACAAUGGGCGAAAGCCUGAUGCAGCCAUGCCGCGUGUGU